UACAGAGGUCCCAAGCGUUGUUCGGAUUCACUGGGCGUAAAGGGUGCGUAGGUGGUGAGGUAAGUUUGAUGUGAAAGCUCCGGGCUUAACCCGGAAAUGGCAUUGAAUACUAUCUCGCUUGAGGGUUGGAGGGGAGACUGGAAUUCUUGGUGUAGCAGUGAAAUGCGUAGAUAUCAAGAGGAACACCAGUGGCGAAGGCGAGUCUCUGGACAACUCCUGACACUGAGGCACGAAAGCUAGGGGGAGCAAACAGG
rnacentral:rRNA from 1 species